UACGAAGGGUGCAAACGUUGCUCGGAAUUAUUGGGCGUAAAGCGCACGUAGGCGGCAUUGCAAGUCGGAUGUGAAAUCCCUCGGCUUAACCAAGGAAGUGCAUCCGAAACUGCAGUGCUUGAGUACUUAAGAGGAUCGCGGAAUUCCCGGUGUAGAGGUGAAAUUCGUAGAUAUUCGCAAGAACACCAGUGGCGAAGGCGGCUCACUGGCCCGAUACUGACGCUGAGGCACGAAAGCGUGGGGAGCAAACAGG
rnacentral:rRNA from 1 species